UGGGAUAAUAGUCUGAACAGAACCUUUCCCGAAAGAUUUAGUCCCUAGGAUAAUUGCUCGACGAUGAUCUUGUAAGGCGCCUGCCACAAUCUCAGAUGCUGACGCGGAUCCACUGUUUAUGAGUACUAUCAGUGGUGAGCCUCCGGUGUCGUCUCCUUCCUUAGCUUGGAAUCGCUGAGCUGACUUAAUAUCACGGCCACGCGUCGAUACGAUCUCACCUUGAUCAAGAAAAACGUCACUGACGCUUACAGCCUGGUCUAAAAGUCCCCCUGGAUUAUUACGA
rnacentral:ncRNA from 1 species